rnacentral:tRNA from 1 species
AUUUAUAUAGUUUAAAUUAAAACUUUACAUUUUCAUUGUAAUAAUAAAAAUU